CCCCAGACUCCUACGGGAGGCAGCAGUGGGGAAUAUUGCACAAUGGGGGAAACCCUGAUGCAGCAACGCCGCGUGAAGGAAGACGGUUUUCGGAUUGUAAACUUCUGUUCUUAGUGAAGAAGAAUGACGGUAGCUAAGGAGCAAGCCACGGCUAACUACGUGCCAGCAGCCGCGGUAAUACGUAGGGGGCAAGCGUUAUCCGGAUUUACUGGGUGUAAAGGGAGCGUAGGCGGUUAGAUAAGUCUGAUGUGAAGGCCCACAGCUUAACUGUGGGAUUGCAUUGGAAACUAUAGAACUAGAGUGUCGGAGAGGUAAGUGGAAUUCCUAGUGUAGCGGUGAAAUGCGUAGAUAUUAGGAGGAACACCAGUGGCGAAGGCGGCUUACUGGACGAUGACUGACGCUGAGGCUCGAAAGCGUGGGGAGCAAACAGGAUUAGAUACCCUGGUAC
rnacentral:rRNA from 1 species